GCCCUCGUAGCAUAAUUGGAUAAUGCGUUUCCUUAACGAAGAAACAGAUGUGGGUUCAAAUCCUGCCGAGGGCG
rnacentral:tRNA from 1 species